rfam:Myotis davidii contig76528, whole genome shotgun sequence.
UGAUGUUCCUCACCCACCCCUGAAGAUCCCAGGUAGGUGAGGAAAUAGAGAGGGAUC